rnacentral:misc_RNA from 1 species
UGUGGUCAGCUCCUCUCAAAUGAAUCAGCUUGCCAGUGUCUGGUGGCAUCACAGGUGUGAUAACUAUCUACGCUUGUGGUUUUCCACCAGGUAACCUUCAGUGAUGGAGGUUCGCUGGAGCUCAUAAAUGUCCCUCCUCAGCGAGGACAGCUUCUUGAAUGUUUGAUCUCAAAUCAGGUAGGGCUACCCGCUGAACUUAA